AUAUAUGUCCUAAAGCAUUAUAUAUAUGGUUUACAUAAAUAUAUGGUGUUAAUACAUAUAUGUAUU
rnacentral:tRNA from 1 species